CGAUAGAUAUGAGUCCAUUCCUAUACCGCUCCUUCUGAUGGCGAAUAGGGAGAGGAUGAAAUAGGCGAGGUCGAACACAUGCUCAUUCACCAUGCUCCAUAAAAAAGUAGGCGUCGUUAGUGUUGACGACGCCGGUGCUCUCUCGCCACCCUAUGAAGGUGUGGGCUAGGAUGGCGUGUAGGUAUCUUACGGAUGGGGCGAGAGCCGAUGCCUUGGAGCGGCUGGGGUCAUAAGUGGCUGAAGUAGGGACGAGGGCCGUCCAACAGUUUAAAGGAGAGUAGUGGAUGUGGCGAUGGAGGCUGGCGAAGUCGUCGUCGUCCAUGAAUUCCUCCAUGUAUAGGCCCAGUGCGACUCUGAACUCAGGCACACUCAGCUGGCGAACUAAAUCGCUGAGAUGGAACUGGACCGUUCCAGGAUCAUCAAACUCCGUCAUAACGACUUGGAGGUGAAAGGUGGAACAGAGUUCGAGUGUGAGUUUGAGGUACGUCAGCUCGAUGAUCUCGAAGAAUAGCCUCUACGGGUCAAUCGUCAGGAGGGCCUGAACUACAUUAGCCAGUUAAAUUUAUUUUAGUACGGUCCAGUCAAUGCAAUAGCCCACACCUAGGGGUCGGGCUCGUAAUAUCUAGAAAAGUUCCUUCUGUGGUCCUAGUAGAAAUUGGAGGAAUGGGUGCCUGAUCUCAAUGGUAGGACCCAAGGAUGAUGCUGCUCCUUUCCUCUUCUUCGACGUUAAAAGAGGAUCGGUAGUCGAAGGAGCGAUGAUGUGAAGGUUAGGUGCGGUUGGGUCGGCCACAAGCGUGGGUGGUGGGGUCGUGUGGGUUGCGCAAGGGGAGAAGAGGGGAUGAAGGAGAGGAAGAAAGGAGAAAAAUGGAAGGAGAAAGAGGAAGGAGUGGCCAGUCAGUGGUGG
rnacentral:lncRNA from 1 species